CAUAUAUAUAUAUAUAUAUAUAUAUUCAAUUAUUAGAAAUAACUGUUUAUUUUAUGUGGUUACUCUUUUUUUGGUUUUGUACAAAAAAAAACAUAAUACAUAUAUAUUUCAUAUGUUUUUUUUUUACACUUUUUGUAUUAACAAUAUACAAGUAACAGUAUACGUAUAGAAUUACAUAUAAUUAAAAUAAUAUAUAUACAUAUGUGUAUUAAAUGUUAAUAAAAAAAAAAUAUAUAUAAAUUAUUGGAAUAGUUAUUUUAAUAUACAGUUAUAUAUGCUUUUAAAAUGAAAAAUCUAUCAGUGUUUUUUCUCCUUUUUUUUCUUUUAUAUAUUGAACAAAUUUUAGGAGCUGCUGUUGUACUUACUAAAGGUAGUUGUUCUCCAACUCACAAACCCACGCAUACAGGAGAAAAGAAGCCAAAAGUUGAUGUACAUAGUUUAAUUAAAGAUCUUAUUUCAAAGGAAGAGGCAGCGCAUGAAUUAAAGAAGUCAAACACAAUAUGUAAAAUCAUUGCUACAAUUUUGGGAAUACUAGCUACUGUUGCAACAAUCGCUGCUGGUUUUAUGGCAUAUAGAUGUAUUAAAAACAAGAAAAGCCAGGAGGGUCAUCGCAGUAAAAACGAUUUGGAUAGUAAUAAUGAUGGUGAUAGUGGUGGUGGAAAUGAUAAUAAAGAAUUACUUCCAAAAUAUAAAUGAUGUAAUAUCUUUACUGAUACAAGGAUAAACACUGAUAAGGAUAGUUUAAGUAAUAGAUUCUUGAAUUUAUGUAAAGUAAGCUACAAAAUAUAUUUUAUAUUAGUUAUUAUGUUUCUAAGCACCACCAUAUAUAUUUUUAUUAUUUAUAUAAAGAAAUGUUUCAUGUACAUAUAUAUUAAUAAGUACUUAUUUUGUGAAAAUGUCAUCCCUCUUUUAAGAUAAUAAUCUAAUUUUUUAUUAUAUUUUACUAAUAAAAUGUAUUUGGUUGUAGUGAUUUUAACA
rnacentral:lncRNA from 1 species